GACGAACGCUGGCGGCGUGCUUAACACAUGCAAGUCGAACGGAAAGGCCCUGCUUUUGCUGCGUGCUCGAGUGGCGAACGGGUGAGUAACACGUGAGUAACCCGCCCCUGACUUUGGGAUAACUUCUGGAAACUGCGGCUAUUACCGCAUAGGAGCUCCUGCUGCAUGGUGGGGGUUGGAAAGUUUCGGCGGUAGGGGCUCGUCUCGCGGGUUAUCAGCUGGUUGGUGGGGUAGUGGCUUACCAAGGUUUUGACGGAUAGCCGGCCUGAGAGGGUGGCCGGCGACAUUGGGACUAAGGUACGGCGCAGACUGGUACGGGCGGCAGCGGUGGGGAAUAUUGCGCAAUGGGGGGAAGCCUGUUGCAGCAGCGCCGGGUGCGGGAUACCCGCCUUCGGGGUAUAAACCGCUUUCGCCUGUGACGAAGAGUGCGUGACGGUAAUGAGUCAAGAAGCAACGGCUAACUACGUG
rnacentral:rRNA from 1 species